CCUACGGGUGGCUGCAGUGAGGAAUAUUGGUCAAUGGGCGCGAGCCUGAACCAGCCAAGUCGCGUGAGGGAAGACGGUCCUAUGGAUUGUAAACCUCUUUUGUCGGGGAGCAAAAGACGCCACGCGUGGCGUUCCGAGAGGACCCGAAGAAAAAGCAUAGGCUAACUACGAGCGAGCAGCCGCGGUAAUACGGAGGAGGCGAGUGUUAUCCGGAUUCAUGGGGUUUAAAGGGUGCGCAGGCGGAUCUUUAAGCCGGCAGUGACAUCGCGGCGAUCAACCCCGGCGAGCCGUCGGAAAUGGGGGCCUUGAGUGCGGCGGAGGCAUGCGGAAUGCGCGGUGUAGCGGUGAAAUGCAUAGAUAUCGCGCAGAACCCCGAUUGCGAAGGCAGCGUGCCGUGCCGCCACUGACGCUGAGGCACGAAAGCGCGGGGAUCGAACAGGAUUAGAUACCCCAGUAGUC
rnacentral:rRNA from 1 species